rfam:Camelus ferus unplaced genomic scaffold scaffold590, whole genome shotgun sequence.
GAGGAUAUAGCUCAGUGGCAGAGCAAGUGCCUAGCAAGCACAAGGUCCUGGGUUCGAUCCGAAGUACCUCCA